rnacentral:rRNA from 1 species
AGUAACGAACGUGAGUAACCUACGCCUUCGUACUUUACGGGUGUAACUUACUAGGAAACGUAGGGUCGGUAAUACCGGACGUAGGUAGGCUCCUCGCUGUCAUGGUGGGGGUUGGAAAGUUUCGGCGGUUGGGGAUGGACUCGCGGCUUAUCAGCUUGUUGGUGGGGUAGUGGCUUACCAAGGCUUUGACGGGUAGCCGGCCUGAGAGGGUGACCGGCCACAUUGGGACUGAGAUACGGCCCGGACUCCUACGGGAGGCAGCAGUGGGGAAUAUUGCACAAUGGGCGGAAGCCUGAUGCAGCAACGCCGCGUGCGGGAUGACGGCCUUCGGGUUGUAAACCGCUUUCGCCUGUGACGAAGCGUGAGUGACGGUAAUGGGUAAAGAAGCACCGGCUAACUACGUG